rnacentral:rRNA from 1 species
UACGAAGGGGGCUAGCGUUGCUCGGAAUUACUGGGCGUAAAGCGCACGUAGGCGGUCUUUUAAGUCGGGGGUGAAAUCCUGGAGCUCAACGUCCAGAACUGCCUUCGAUACUGGAAGACUCGAGUCCGGGAGAGGUGAGUGGAACUGCGAGUGUAGAGGUGAAAUUGUAGAUAUUCGCAAGAACACCAGUGGCGAAGGCGGCUCACUGGCCCGGUACUGACGCUGAGG